rnacentral:sRNA from 1 species
GACAGACAGACAGACAGGAAGAAAGAAAUGUGAUGAUAAUCCCCUUAUAAGAGCAACAGCUUGUCCACAUUAUUAGCUGGGCUUAUCAACCCUUUCAUCUAAUUUCCAGGUUCUCUAGAAGUUACUACAGCAGCCAUCCUACAGAUGCCUCUCCGUAUCACUCCAAAACCACUGUUUUAUAUCUGUGUCUGUUAAGUUAGCAGACUUAAUUAACUUUAAUUAACUUACAAAAUAUUAAUGGUGCUAUUGACUAAUGAUUGUCCCAUUGCUUUUGAAAGAAACCAGAAAAGACCUUGGUUCAAGUCCAUUCUACUGCUUAAUCUAUGACAAGGAUUUCAUCCAGUGGGACUCAGAUAGCUCAGUUUCCUCAUCUAUCUGGAGAGACACGAGAAACUAAAGCACAAAAAGACAGUGAAAAAGCUACAAACUGAUUUGGCAAUAGCUAAGCAAGAGGCUGCCAUCACUGUCCUGGAACUCAAUGAGAAGAUAAUGACACUCUGUGAAGGAAGGCCUUUCCCUAGAGUCUCAAACCAAGGCAGAUUCCUUCUGUCAUUUCCAGAGCUGAAGUGCCUACAGCUUUGUUUACCGCCAGAAAGAGCUGGAAUCCUAGCGUGCUAGGGUUCUCAAAGUCUGGGUAAGUCUACUCUUUAAAUCACAAUGUGUAGGAACUGAACGAUCUUUCUGUUCUUUGCUUUAGUAAGACUGAGUUACUCAACUGGAGAAGAGGGGAUAAGGUGACGUAAUACGUGACAGGAUGACUUAAGGGGGGAAGAUUUAUUUCAGCUCUUGGUUUCCGAAGUCUCAGCCCAUUUGGCUUCUUUGUUUCUGGGCCUGUGUUGAGGACAUCCUGGCGGCAGAGUCCUGUUUCAAGGCAGCUCUCCGGAUGAAGGCUGGAGAAGCAAAGGAAAGAAGGGCGUGGCCUGGCCAAGUCUGCCCUGAAAGCCACUCCCAGUGACCUACUUUUUCAAACCAGUCCUCUCCUUCUACUGUUUCCAGCCUCUCCCAACCAACCGUCUAUUCAAACUGGACCGCAUCCAUGGAGUGAACUACUGUUUCAGUUAGCACACUGGUAGCUAAUCCUCCCUAGAAAUGCGCAUAGGUGUGCACCUUCCUGUCUUCACCCAAGUUACUUCACAAAAUAUCCUACCUACCCAGUCCAGUUCCGUUGUUGAUUGAGUGCAGUUACUUGAUAGCCUGCAGGUUCCUCUUUAUAACCAAGAGAGAUAUUUCAAGCCUGCUUCCUUAAAGGAAUAUAUUCCUUUAUGGGUUUUUUUUGUCUUUUAAUUUUUUUAAUUAACUUUUCUUAUGCGGCCCAAUGACCAGCUGGCCUGGCUCUGUCCUCAAGUGAGAGUCAUAUCAACUCUUAAGGCAUCUUUUAACUUUCCUCUUAUUUUAAAGGACAUUCUCUCAGUGGCAUUGAUAUAUCCCAGCACAGACAUUUCCUGGAUUCAAUAUCUGCAUAGAGCCAGCUACCUUUGAGGAAAAAACUUGUCAUAGAAGUAACAUAAGCCACAUUUGUUGGGGGAGGGGACUGAAAUAGAAGUAACAUUUCAGUUUCAAACACUGAACAACAUAUUCAUGACUUCCUGAGAAUCAAACUAUUGCUUUUCUAUAGUCCUCAGAAAAUUGAGGGGUAAACUUUUGCCUCAAGUACUUUGGGCUAAACCUCCCUUGCCCGCUUCAAACAUCCUUAAGAUCAAAGCUCCUGUUGCAAUCAGGAGUUUAGGAACUAGGGCUCAGGAGACAAAGAGAAAGUCCUAAUCCUAGAUACAGCAAUUCCCCAGUACAGUUUAUGCGUUAAUCAGCUCUGAAAUGACGAUGGUUGUCCUGAAUCGUAUGAAUUAAGAGCAUUUAGAGGGCAGUCAUUUUGAUAGUUACUAGACUGGGUUCCAUCUUGAAUAAGUAUCCUGCGUGUGGAGAUUUUGAGCAAUGGCACCCUGUGCUCACCUACAGUUUUUUCCAAAGGCUGUAAGUUCCUGAGACCAAAGAACAAUGGCUCGACUAGAAGCGUUUUACAGACAGCCUUCCAUCUGAACGAACAAUCCUAUUUUACCAGUCAGCCCAGAGCUGUACAAAAAGUGACCAGGAGAGCCCUGGGACCUCACUGUGUAAACCACUGUAAAUCCUUCACAAAGCACUACUGACUGCCUGUGUCGUUUGAUGGUAAGGGGCUCACUCUGUUGUCUGCUGAGAAGACCAGAUAAGCAGCCUGCAUUCUGCACCGAAAGUCUUUACCUUGAUACAUACAUACAUA